CCUUCUUUUUCUCUCUUUCCUCUUCCUUCCUUUUCUUCCCUCUUUCUCCUUCUUCUUUUUCCUCCAGAUGUUAAAUCCCCGGGCUCAACCUGGGAACUGCAUUUGUGACUGCAAGGCUAGAGUGCGUCAGAGGGAGGUGGAAUUCCGCGUGUAGCAGUGAAAUGCGAAGAGAUGCGGAGGAACACCGAUGGCGAAGGCAGCCUCCUGGGAUGACACUGACGCUCAUGCACGAAAGCGUGGGGAGCAAACAG
rnacentral:rRNA from 1 species